UACGUAGGGUGCAAGCGUUGUCCGGAAUUAUUGGGCGUAAAGAGCUCGUAGGCGGUCUGUCGCGUCGGCUGUGAAACCCCGAGGCUCAACCUCGGGCCUGCAGUCGAUACGGGCAGACUAGAGUGUGGUAGGGGAGACUGGAAUUCCUGGUGUAGCGGUGAAAUGCGCAGAUAUCAGGAGGAACACCGGUGGCGAAGGCGGGGUCUCUGGGCAGUAACUGACGCUGGAGGAGCGAAAAGCGUGGGGAGCGAACAGG
rnacentral:rRNA from 1 species